AAAAGUUAACUCUGUAUGGAGAUGGAAUGUUUGCAUACGUUUGCCGCUAGGGGCGCUGUUCCAACUGCAUACAAAUUUGAGUUA
rnacentral:pre_miRNA from 1 species